rnacentral:rRNA from 1 species
GAUGAACGCUGGCGGCGUGCCUAAUACAUGCAAGUCGAGCGAACGGACGAGAAGCUUGCUUUUCUGAUGUUAGCGGCGGACGGGUGAGUAACACGUGGAUAACCUACCUAUAAGACUGGGAUAACUUCGGGAAACCGGAGCUAAUACCGGAUAAUAUUUUGAACCGCAUGGUUCAAAAGUGAAAGACGGUCUUGCUGUCACUUAUAGAUGAAUCCGCGCUGCAUUAGCUAGUUGGUAAGGUAACGGCUUACCAAGGCAACGAUGCAUAGCCGACCUGAGAGGGUGAUCGGCCACACUGGAACUGAGACACGGUCCAGACUCCUACGGGAGGCAGCAGUAGGGAAUCUUCCGCAAUGGGCGAAAGCCUGACGGAGCAACGCCGCGUGAGUGAUGAAGGUCUUCGGAUCGUAAAACUCUGUUAUUAGGGAAGAACAUAUGUGUAAGUAACUGUGCACAUCUUGACGGUACCUAAUCAGAAAGCCACGGCUAACUACGU